rnacentral:rRNA from 1 species
GACAGAGGGUGCAAGCGUUGUUCGGAAUCAUUGGGCGUAAAGCGCACGUAGGCGGUUCUGUAAGUCGGAUGGGAAAGCCCUGGGCUUAACCCAGGAAGUGCAUCCGAUACUGCAAGACUUGAGUCCCGGAGAGGGUGGUGGAAUUCCUGGUGUAGAGGUGAAAUUCGUAGAUAUCAGGAGGAACACCGGUGGCGAAGGCGACCACCUGGACGGAGACUGACGCUGAGGUGCGAAAGCGUGGGGAGCAAACAGG